rnacentral:rRNA from 1 species
CCAACAGUUGCCAGCUCGUCCUCCGGGAUGGAGGGGACACUGUUGGGACCGCUCUGCUAAAGAGGAGGAAGGAAUGGGCAACGUAGGUCAGCAUGCCCGAAUUAAUUGGGCUACACGCGGGCUACAAUGGGUGGGACAAUGGGUAUCGACACCGAAAGGUGAAGGCAAUCUCCUAAACCCAUCCGUAGUUCGGAUUGUGGGCUGCAACUCGCCCACAUGAAGCUGGAAUCUGUAGUAAUCGUGUCUCAAAAUGGCACGGUGAAUAUGUCCCUGCGUCCUU